rnacentral:lncRNA from 1 species
AUAGAAAUUCGUACUGAUUAAACAAGCAUUAAUACAGGGUGUUCGGUUAAUUGUUAAAGACUUUAUCAAUUUCUAUUCAAAUAAAAUUGAAAAAAGUGAUAUGUUAAUUAAAAUAACCUCACUAAAGGUUGCAAAAACAGAAUUACAUACAAACAAGCGUUAUUAAUGUAAAGUAUUACAUACAUGAGCUUGUUAGACAACAAAAUUGACAAAGAAAAAUUAGAAACAUGAAAUGAAUUUGAAUUGUAAAACCAAACCUCAAGAUUGUUACAUGAAGUACCUCAACAAAUGGAUUCAUGUAAAGGUUUUAGGUUUCUAUCACAAAGUUUACACAAAAGUUAAAAUGGUAGGGGAAAAAAAAAGAUAAUUAUGAGUUUCACUAGUAUUUCUAUUUAUAAUACUCAAAUAUAAACCUAAGGUUUUCUAAAUUCUAAAUAAGAGUUAGACACAUUAUGUACUAAACGAACAAUUAGUAAGAUUAUCACUUAAAUUCCAUAGUAAAAAUCCACGGUUAAUAGAUUGACUACAAUAAUAUGUGUAUUUGUCGUCCAAAAACUCCGAACUUGGCUUUGAGUAAAACAUUUGAUUUCUUAAUAAGCCUUUAAUAAAAGAAAUUGUUUAGAAUAAUUUUGGAAAGAGUAAGCAACAUAAUAACGAAAUAGAAUAAAAUCGUAG